AACGCAACUUGCGCCUUUUGUGUUGAACACUAGGCAUACUUGUUUGAGUAUCACAUCUCUAUCACACACGCACACGUUGUGUUGUGUGUGGAUGUGGGAGUAUGUGUGCUGUCUGGCGAGCACGGCAACCAUUCUCUUGAAAUGUGACACGGCGACAAGCACACGCUGAUAGGAUAACUGUCCGUUGUCAGCAGUGGCAUAUGUGCGCCUGUGUGGGUGGGGGUGCUGUGUGUGUGUCGUGCAUAUGCACGAUGCGCUGCAGCAUCACUGCAACAACUGACACUGAUCUCAAAUCAAGUAAGAGUACCCGCUGAACUUAA
rnacentral:misc_RNA from 1 species